rnacentral:rRNA from 1 species
AGUGAACGCUGGCGGUAGGCCUAACACAUGCAAGUCGAACGGCAGCACAGGAGAGCUUGCUCUCUGGGUGGCGAGUGGCGGCCGGGUGAGUAAUACAUCGGAAUCUACUCUGUCGUGGGGGAUAACGUAGGGAAACUUACGCUAAUACCGCACACGACCUACGGGUGAAAGCAGGGGCCCUUCGGGCCUUGCGCGAUUGAAUCAGCCGGAUGUGAGAUUAGCUAGGUGGCGGGGUAAAGGCCGACCAAGGCGACUAUCCGUAGCUGGUCUGAGAGGAUGAUCAGCCACACUGGAACUGAGACACGGUCCAGACGCCGACGGGAGGCAGCAGGGGGGAAUAUUGGACAAUGGGCCCAAGCCUGAUCCAGCCAUACCGCGUGGGUGAAGAAGGCCUUCGGGUGGUAGAGCCCUUUUGUUGGGAAAGAAAUCCAGCUGGCUAAUACCCGGUUGGGAUGACGGUACCCAAAGAAUAAGCACCGGCUAACUUCGUGCCAGCAGCCGCCGUAA